GGGUUGUGAGGUUAAGCGACUAAGCGUACACGGUGGAUGCCCUGGCAGUCAGAGGCGAUGAAGGGCGUGCUAAUCUGCGAUAAGCGCCGGUAAGGUGAUAUGAACCGUUAUAACCGGCGAUACCCGAAUGGGGAAACCCAGUGUGACUCGUCACACUAUCAUUAACUGAAUCCAUAGGUUAAUGAGGCGAACCGGGGGAACUGAAACAUCUAAGUACCCCGAGGAAAAGAAAUCAACCGAGAUUCCCCCAGUAGCGGCGAGCGAACGGGGAGGAGCCCAGAGCCUGAAUCAGCAUGUGUGUUAGUGGAAGCGUCUGGAAAGGCGCGCGAUACAGGGUGACAGCCCCGUACACAAAAGCGCAUGUGCUGUGAGCUCGAUGAGUAGGGCGGGACACGUGGUAUCCUGUCUGAAUAUGGGGGGACCAUCCUCCAAGGCUAAAUACUCCUGACUGACCGAUAGUGAACCAGUACCGUGAGGGAAAGGCGAAAAGAACCCCGGCGAGGGGAGUGAAAAAGAACCUGAAACCGUGUACGUACAAGCAGUGGGAGCCCCCCACUAAGCCAGUGGUGAACUCCACAUACGCAUCCUUUGCUGAGGAUACGGUUAACGGAGCGAAAGCGACGUUCAACCGCAAAAGAAGCAGAGGGGGCUUAGUGGUGGGGUGACUGCGUACCUUUUGUAUAAUGGGUCAGCGACUUAUAUUCUGUAGCAAGGUUAACCGAAUAGGGGAGCCGGAGGGAAACCGAGUCUUAACCGGGCGUUAAGUUGCAGGGUAUAGACCCGAAACCCGGUGAUCUAGCCAUGGGCAGGUUGAAGGUUGGGUAACACUAACUGGAGGACCGAACCGACUAAUGUUGAAAAAUUAGCGGAUGACCUGUGGCUGGGGGUGAAAGGCCAAUCAAACCGGGAGAUAGCUGGUUCUCCCCGAAAGCUAUUUAGGUAGCGCCUCGUGAAUUCAUCUCCGGGGGUAGAGCACUGUUUCGGCUAGGGGGCCAUCCCGGCUUACCAACCCGAUGCAAACUGCGAAUACCGGAGAAUGUUAUCACGGGAGACACACGGCGGGUGCUAACGUCCGUCGUGAAGAGGGAAACAACCCAGACCGCCAGCUAAGGUCCCAAAGUCAUGGUUAAGUGGGAAACGAUGUGGGAAGGCCCAGACAGCCAGGAUGUUGGCUUAGAAGCAGCCAUCAUUUAAAGAAAGCGUAAUAGCUCACUGGUCGAGUCGGCCUGCGCGGAAGAUGUAACGGGGCUAAACCAUGCACCGAAGCUGCGGCAGCGACACUCAGGUGUUGUUGGGUAGGGGAGCGUUCUGUAAGCCUGUGAAGGUGGCCUGUGAGGGUUGCUGGAGGUAUCAGAAGUGCGAAUGCUGACAUAAGUAACGAUAAAGCGGGUGAAAAGCCCGCUCGCCGGAAGACCAAGGGUUCCUGUCCAACGUUAAUCGGGGCAGGGUGAGUCGACCCCUAAGGCGAGGCCGAAAGGCGUAGUCGAUGGGAAACGGGUUAAUAUUCCCGUACUUGGUGUUACUGCGAAGGGGGGACGGAGAAGGCUAUGUUGGCCGGGCGACGGUUGUCCCGGUUUAAGCGUGUAGGUGUGUGUUCCAGGUAAAUCCGGUUCACUUUAACACUGAGGCGUGACGACGAGGCACUACGGUGCUGAAGCAACAAAUGCCCUGCUUCCAGGAAAAGCCUCUAAGCAUCAGGUAACAUCAAAUCGUACCCCAAACCGACACAGGUGGUCAGGUAGAGAAUACCAAGGCGCUUGAGAGAACUCGGGUGAAGGAACUAGGCAAAAUGGUGCCGUAACUUCGGGAGAAGGCACGCUGACAUGUAGGUGAAGUGAUUUACUCACGGAGCUGAAGUCAGUCGAAGAUACCAGCUGGCUGCAACUGUUUAUUAAAAACACAGCACUGUGCAAACACGAAAGUGGACGUAUACGGUGUGACGCCUGCCCGGUGCCGGAAGGUUAAUUGAUGGGGUCAGCGCAAGCGAAGCUCCUGAUCGAAGCCCCGGUAAACGGCGGCCGUAACUAUAACGGUCCUAAGGUAGCGAAAUUCCUUGUCGGGUAAGUUCCGACCUGCACGAAUGGCGUAAUGAUGGCCAGGCUGUCUCCACCCGAGACUCAGUGAAAUUGAACUCGCUGUGAAGAUGCAGUGUACCCGCGGCAAGACGGAAAGACCCCGUGAACCUUUACUAUAGCUUGACACUGAACAUUGAGCCUUGAUGUGUAGGAUAGGUGGGAGGCUUUGAAGUGUGGACGCCAGUCUGCAUGGAGCCGACCUUGAAAUACCACCCUUUAAUGUUUGAUGUUCUAACGUGGACCCGUUACCCGGGUUGCGGACAGUGUCUGGUGGGUAGUUUGACUGGGGCGGUCUCCUCCUAAAGAGUAACGGAGGAGCACGAAGGUUGGCUAAUCCUGGUCGGACAUCAGGAGGUUAGUGCAAUGGCAUAAGCCAGCUUGACUGCGAGCGUGACGGCGCGAGCAGGUGCGAAAGCAGGUCAUAGUGAUCCGGUGGUUCUGAAUGGAAGGGCCAUCGCUCAACGGAUAAAAGGUACUCCGGGGAUAACAGGCUGAUACCGCCCAAGAGUUCAUAUCGACGGCGGUGUUUGGCACCUCGAUGUCGGCUCAUCACAUCCUGGGGCUGAAGUAGGUCCCAAGGGUAUGGCUGUUCGCCAUUUAAAGUGGUACGCGAGCUGGGUUUAGAACGUCGUGAGACAGUUCGGUCCCUAUCUGCCGUGGGCGCUGGAGAACUGAGGGGGGCUGCUCCUAGUACGAGAGGACCGGAGUGGACGCAUCACUGGUGUUCGGGUUGUCAUGCCAAUGGCACUGCCCGGUAGCUAAAUGCGGAAGAGAUAAGUGCUGAAAGCAUCUAAGCACGAAACUUGCCCCGAGAUGAGUUCUCCCUGAGACUUUAGGUCUCCUGAAGGAACGUUGAAGACGACGACGUUGAUAGGCCGGGUGUGUAAGCGCAGCGAUGCGUUGAGCUAACCGGUACUAAUGAACCGUGAGGCUUAACCUUACAACGCCGAAG
rnacentral:rRNA from 1 species